ensembl:lncRNA
GGGAGGGGAGGUAGGUAGCUAAGUAGCCCUGAUGGGGGCUCUCAGAAAGGCACCCCAGGGCUUGGCGGUCGGCAUGGCUGCCCUCUGCCCGGAACCUGGGAUCUUGGAGGAACCCCUCUUUCCCCUCUAGUUAAGUAACCAAAUGUUUGCUGGACACACACAGCGUGGUCCCUUCAUGUGCCGGGUGUUUGGGGGAGGAGGGAUCAGAGGAGAGGACAGUCUUUGCUUUCUGGAGUUUGCUGCGGAAGCAUUAAUUAGGAGGACGAUAAAAGGCAAUGUCACAUUAAGAGCAUAACUGCUGGUUAGAAAUACGUUAUCGCUCUGGGCUCUAGGCUCCUGAAAGACAUGCCCACGUGUAGGCUGACGAGAUCAAGCUGCCAGCAUUAGAACGAGCCGCCACCUGCAAAAACAGGUUGUGGUUCCGAGUUGGUUUUGUGAAAGGAAUCGUCAGACCAACACCACCUGGGGGACAAAGCUGGAGGACGGCCCGACGUAACUCCCACUUGGAGGCUGAAGCAGCCGCAGAGAAGAGGGUACAAAGAUGGCGCUCUCCGUGGCCGCACCGCGCACCCAGCAUCCAGCCUCGCUCAAGACACUAGCGCUCCUUCAGACACAUGCGCAGUCGCUUCAGGUGCGUCCGACUCUUUGCGAACCCAUGGCCUGUAGCCCGCCAGGCUCCUCUGUCCACGGGAUUCUCCAGCCCACAGAGAUCUCUGGGAGGGCGGGAAACUCCAGCGUGGAUUUGAUGAAGGACAGAGCCUCCAAGUGGCUCCUGGGAUCCGUCAGUGUGAGACCUACAUGGAUGAUGUGCAGAAACUUUGCACGUGGAAAACACCCAACAUUCUUUCUUUCUUCUUGUUAUAUUUUAUUUUGGCUGCCCUGGGUCUUCCUUGCAGCCUGUGGGCUUUCUCUAAUUGGGGUGCGCAUGGGCUUCUCUCGUGGCAUAUGGUCUCUAGAGCAUGCGAGCUCAGUAGUUGGGACACGUGGGCCUUCUCUAGUUGUGGUGCAAGGGCUUAGUGGCCCUGUGGCGUGUGGGAUCUUAGUUCCUCGACCAGGGAUCAAACCUGCGUCCCUUACAGUGAGAGGCAGAGCCUUAACCACUGGGCCACCAGGAAAUUCUCCCAACACUCUACUUUUAUAUCUAUAUGAGAUGAUGGAUGUUCGCUGAACUUAUUGUGGUCAUCAUUCCAGGAUGCAUGUAAGUCAAAUCAUGAAGCUGUCACCUUAAACUUGCAC